GUCCCCAUCGUCUAGUCGGGUCUAGGACACCGGCCUUUCAAGCCGGCAACAGCGGUUCAAAUCCGCUUGGGGACGCCA
rnacentral:tRNA from 1 species